rnacentral:rRNA from 1 species
AUACGGAGGGUGCGAGCGUUAAUCGGAAUUACUGGGCGUAAAGCGUACGUAGGCGGUUGGUUAAGUUAGAUGUGAAAGCCCCGGGCUUAACCUGGGAACUGCAUUUAAAACUGGCGAACUAGAGUUGAGUAGAGGGGAGUGGAAUUUCAGGUGUAGCGGCGAAAUGCGUAGAGAUCUGAAGGAACACCAGUGGCGAAGGCGACUCCCUGGACUCGAACUGACGCUGAGGUACGAAAGCGUGGGUAGCAAACGGGAUUAGAUACCCCGGUAGUCC